UGCAGAAUUCUUUGAUUCAAAAAUGGAGAAAUGAUGGUGAUUGAAGUAGCCCUUUAUCACUACUUUAAUAAAGAAAUUUAUUAAAGAAAAACUGUGGCUACUAAAGACAAGAAAUAAUAUGAGAAAGUCUCCAUUAUUGUGACCACUUAUCCACUAGUUGACACAAGUGGCAGACAAAUUCAAAAGAUAAGGCACAUAAUUUUCAAAAGAGAGGUCCACAUAGCAAGAAGACAAUGAAGAAUUCGGUGGAGAUAAGAUGCCUUGCUACCUAACAAAGAAAGUGGAAAACACCUGUCCAAGAUAAGAUUCCAAACUCUCCUAUAAAAGGGGACAUGCAGGAAGAAGGAAGAAAUCUCGAAAAAAUCUAUCUCUAUUCUCUGAGAACACAUUAGAGAAAAUUCUUUUGUAAUCUGAUUACACUACUUGUAUUCAGAAAAAUAUUA
rnacentral:lncRNA from 1 species